UUAGGAUUUGAUUAGGAUUUGAUUUAGGAUUUAGGAUUUGAUUAGGGUUUGAUUUAGGAUUUAGGAUUUGUAUUAGGGUUUGGUUAGGAUUUGGUUUAGGAUUUAGAGUUUGUAUUAGGAUUUGAUUAGGGUUUGGUUUAGGAUUUGGUUGGAAUUUGGUUUAAGGUUUGUUUAGGAUUUGAUUUAGGGUUUGGUUUAGGAUUUGGUUAGGAUUUGGUUAGGGUUUGGUUUAGGAUUUGGUUGGAGUAUGAUUUAAGGUUUAUUUAGGAUUUGAUUUAGGAUUUAGGAUUUGAUUUAGGGUUUAAGAUUUAAUUAGUUUUGGCCUAAAGUUUGAAUGAAGUUCAAUAGGAUUUUGACUAGAAUUAAAUAAAGAUUGAAUUGAGAUGUAUUUGAGUGAUAUUUGUGAUCAUUCUAAUAUUUCUUUAAGAAUUCUUAUUGUUGGUUUCAAAUUUCUUUGAAGUUUUUUUGAAUUUGAUUAAGCUUGCUUAGCAUUAUUAUGGUCUAAUUAGAAAAUUAUUAGUAUUCU
rnacentral:lncRNA from 1 species